rnacentral:rRNA from 1 species
AAUAGAUACCCGGGUAGUCCACGCCGUAAACGAUGAGUGCUAAGUGUUAGAGGGUUUCCGCCCUUUAGUGCUGCAGCGUAACGCAUUAAGCACUCCGCCUGGGGAGUACGGCCGCAAGGCUGAAACUCAAAGGAAUUGACGGGGGCCCGCACAAGCGGUGGAGCAUGUGGUUUAAUUCGAAGCAACGCGAAGAACCUUACCAGGUCUUGACAUCCUCUGCCAACCCUAGAGAUAGGGCGUUCCCCUUCGGGGGACAGAGUGACAGGUGGUGCAUGGUUGUCGUCAGCUCGUGUCGUGAGAUGUUGGGUUAAGUCCCGCAACGAGCGCAACCCUUGAUCUUAGUUGCCAGCAUUCAGUUGGGCACUCUAAGGUGACUGCCGGUGACAAACCGGAGGAAGGUGGGGAUGACGUCAAAUCAUCAUGCCCCUUAUGACCUGGGCUACACACGUGCUACAAUGGAUGGUACAAAGAGCUGCGAACCCGCGAGGGUAAGCCAAUCUCAUAAAGCCAUUCUCAGUUCGGA